GCGGAGCUUUAGCACUCAUCCAAACAGGAAACAAAAAACGUACCAGUUCUUUGGCCUCUAGCAGCUUGUAAAGCGGAUGGUUCAUAUUCAUAAAAAUACUGGCAACUGAUUUUCAGUGUACACAGUGCAGCAAGGAGCCCUGUUUUGACCCAGCCUGCAUCAGGAGGUGGCAGUUUCUCUUUUCAAUUUCAAAAAAGGAAAACAUUUGUUUAACACUAGAAUCACUACGGAUGUGUGUAUUUCUGCUCCUGUGGGACAGCACAAGGGACUUAUGAACUCUUUGGUCUUUGAAACCUUCCUCUCAAAUACACAAGGUGUGAUUUGUUGCUUCCUGUUAUCGCGCUCCUUCAGUAGGACCCAAGAGGUGCUAGCAUUUGCAGAUCAGCGGGUGCUCCCAAAGAAGUAAAUCUGUGAGCUCAGCCAAAAGUCAUAUUUGCACUGCUACCACUUUUGGGCACUGCUUGGGUACAUGUGCCCAGAACUAAGAGGAAGCAUUCUUGACCGUGGAACAGACUCUUACAGGCAAGGUGAGAGGGGAGGUAAAGUAGCAUGACUAAACUUUUCCAUUUCUGCCGUUAAUAGCUCUGGUCUUGGUCCAGUACCCUGUGAUCCAAUUUCUAGGUUAUGGUGAGUGUAUGAUACAUAUUUUUGUCACCUUGGAAAUGUGAAAAUACUUACUAACUGGCUGAAGAACUUCACGGUGACGGGAAAGUAACUUUUUGUAGCUAGGAGCACCCUGAAGUUUAUAGAUCUAAGCAUGGUAGAAGCUACAGGUGAACUAGCUGCAUAUGCAGAUCAGUGCAUUCAUGUAACACACCGACAGCGCCAGCCGCCUGCUCUGUCCCGCACUGAGAGAGCUAACCUUGUGUGCAACUCACUGUGGGUGGUGAGACAAGGCUCACGUUCUGUGUUGCUCUAAGCAUCAUGCAAGACUGCAGAAGUGGCCUUUAUACCAGUGUAAUGAUACGAAGAGACAAACCUGUUCAUUAAAAUGGAGAUAAACCCACAUGUAAUGGCUAAAAUUCAGCACAACCCUCCAACGUGCCCUCCACUCGGAUCAUUGGCCUCGUGUGGUAUUUCAGCAAUGUUCACCAGUGUUGAUACCCCACAGCAGGGCUGUUUGCCUCCUUCCCCUGCAUAUGAAGAAAGGAAGGGAAGAAGAAAGGAAAAAUUGAAAAAACAAGUUUUACUCUGUAAAUUUUUAAACAUCGAGUAAGACUCUGCUUUAAGUACAUUUUAAUGCAUUGCCAUAAAGUACUUUCAAAUAGGCUGGACCGCCUGAAGUUAAUAUAAUGCAAUGAGAUUUCUUCUAGGAACACAAAGCGUGCAUUUUCUGCCAUGCCAAUGUGAAACUGAGUGGGGGUUACCUGGCGCGUGUGUACCGAUUCUUUUAAAGAAAAGACCUGUAUAUGACCUGUAGUAUUGCUACGCCAAUGAUGUCUUGGUCUUUUUAAUAGGGCAUUAAUGACUACUCUCAGUGAACAACCUGCCUCUUGGUCGGGUUUUUCAUUUGAUAGCACAUCUGGGUCUUUCUGACAGAAUAUGAAAUCUCUGACUUUAGCCACCUGUUCUAUACAGUCAGCCCAUGUUUUAUCAUUUCCAAGUAAUACUUGAAAGGGCAGAAAAAUACGAAGAAAGCAAUCCAUGCAGAUAAGUCUCUGGAAAACAAGAAAAGGUCAUUAAACCUUUUAAAGUUUGGCCAACUGAAUCCCAGAUCUUACAAGUUAGCCACCAAGAUAGGUCACCAAGCUCAAAAGUAAGGAAAAACGAAGUGAAGCAAUUUAUCUGCUGCUGCUAAUAUGGUUUUGGCUUAUCUUUGAGAUCCUUCUUGAAUACCUUUUAAUUAAUUAAAUUACAUAAAUUCUUUUGAAUUGGACUAUUAUGAGAUUUGUUUCUGCCUAUUUCAGAAAGAGUUAAUAAAGGUGCCACAACAAAAUCUACAGGACUAAAAGAAACGAAAUCUCUGUUGAAGAGUGGAGAAAGAGCCGAUUUCCUCCCACUCAUGAGAUCCAGCUCUACAGAGGAUUUUAUCCCUUUUUUUCAGAGCCAGGACAAAAGCUAUGCAGGUUUUAGCACUAUUUAAAUACUUGGCACUUGCAUACGAUGUGAUUUCAAUAUGUUGUAGUAAAAGGCAUUUUGAGAAAACAAAAGCAUGAUUUUUA